rnacentral:rRNA from 1 species
UGAGGAAUAUUGGUCAAUGGGCGAGAGCCUGAACCAGCCAAGUAGCGUGCAGGAUGACGGCCCUAUGGGUUGUAAACUGCUUUUAUGCGGGGAUAACGUGCGCCACGUGUGGUGUAUUGCAGGUACCGCAUGAAUAAGGACCGGCUAAUUCCGUGCCAGCAGCCGCGGUAAUACGGAAGGUCCGGGCGUUAUCCGGAUUUAUUGGGUUUAAAGGGAGCGUAGGCCGGAGAUUAAGCGUGUUGUGAAAUGUAGACGCUCAACGUCUGCACUGCAGCGCGAACUGGUUUCCUUGAGUACGCACAAAGUGGGCGGAAUUCGUGGUGUAGCGGUGAAAUGCUUAGAUAUCACGAAGAACUCCGAUUGCGAAGGCAGCUCACUGGAGCGCAACUGACGCUGAAGCUCGA